UACGGGGGGGGCAAGCGUUGUUCGGAAUUACUGGGCGUAAAGGGCUCGUAGGCGGCCAACUAAGUCAGACGUGAAAUCCCUCGGCUCAACCGGGGAACUGCGUCUGAUACUGGAUGGCUUGAAUCCGGAAGAGGGAUGCGGAAUUCCUGGUGUAGCGGUGAAAUGCGCAGAUAUCAGGAGGAACACCGGUGGCGAAGGCGGCUUUCUGGGCCUUACCUGACGCUGAGGAGCGAAAGCUGGGGGAGCAAACAGG
rnacentral:rRNA from 1 species